rnacentral:miRNA from 1 species
AUGAUGCCCCUUAGAGUUGAGC